rnacentral:lncRNA from 1 species
GACAAUUUAGAUAGUUUCAUGAGAUUUAAAAUGUUGAUUUUGGGUUAGUGGUGGGGUUUAUUUAGGUUUGGAACCUUUAUUUUCCAUUUCAAUACUUCUUUCAUACUGAAAUAAGCCAAAAUAGGGACCUGAGGGUUAAAUUAUUGAAUAUGAGCUCUACUGAAAAAUCCAACAUUGUUGUAGAGUUUGAAACAUCAAACUAGCCUAUUACAAAAUAUUUUUUAUUUUUAUGGGUCCCAAAUGAAUCUCGUUGGUCCAUUCAAAAGAAUUGAAAAAAAUCGGCAAAGUUGUUGAUAUCUGGUGCAUGAGGCUACUUCUUUAGAAAUACAGGCCCCGAACUAUGAACGGAGAGAAGGAAAAAUAUCCUUCAUCACAAACGCAAGGGAGAUGUCCACCAUUUGAAAGAGUUCUUAAGAUCGGGUUUGGUAUUUUACUCCAUCCGGAACGCGAUGUGUCUAGGUCAUCAUGCUUCAUAAAUGCAAGAGUCACGAAGGCCAAUUUUAUCGCAUGGUCGCCUGUCGACCUCCAGGAAUGUAAAAAAUUUACAUCAUUCAUGAGGUACUAUUCUCAAAAUAGUAUAAAGCCUCCAUUUUUGGGAUUUUCACCCUUUUUGGACCUUGAAGAUUCAGGAAGAGGAAAUUUCUAGGAUUUUAUGGAUGUGUGAGCAUAUGCUAACACAUUUGAGGCUUUUAACUCUAAAUAAUUGCAAGGUCUUGAGAAAAUUUUGUUAUUUUUAAUUAGUUUAUAUUUGAUUUUGUAGUUUAAGUUGAUAUGAUAGAGGACCAACAUGAAAUAAAGCAAAGAAGAUGAAAUUUAAAGAAAUCGGAAGAUAAAUGUGGCUGACGACAUUUGUGAUAAGUCAUCAGCCCUGUGAUAAGCUAUCAGGUUGGUCGUCAUCAGUAGACAGAGAAUUGUCCUAAAGUAGAAGUUAUGGCAUUAUUUUAUGAUAAGCCAUCAGGGGGUCUGAUAAGUUAUCAAGUUUGUCGUCAGCCUUAAAUUGAGAAUGAAUUCUAGCUGGUAGAAUUGACGAAAUUUUGUGAUAGGCCAUCAUAAUGGUGAUAAUUCAUCAGGAAUGACUUAGGCAUGACAUGAGAAUUGGAGAAAAAGUGUGACGACAUUUUUGAUAAUUCAUCAUCGUCCUGAUAUGCCAUCAGAUGUUGUUGUCAACCAAAGACAGUACUAGUGCUGAUUUGAAGAAGGCCUGAUGACAUUCUUGAGAAGUCCUCAGGAUCCUUAUAAGGCAUCACCAAUAGUCGUCGUCUAUUCCGAGAAAAAGUUGUAAGCUUGAUUUUAUUACUUUAUUUAGGGUAAACUAUUUAAAACUUUGUUUUAGGGUUUUCUAGGAAUUAUUGUGAUCAUUAUUAUUGUUGUUAUCAUUAUUAUUCCAGACAAGGUCGACACCUUGAGUUUGGGACAACAUAUUUUGAUAUUUUCACUAUUUACUUCUUGACUUUAACAGCACAACUAUUUUUUGAGACAUUAUUAUAAGUAUUUUGGGAUUUGUCCUUUG